CCCUAGAACUCCCGGGAAAACAAAGAAGACCGGGAUCCCUAAGGACUCCCGGGAAAACAAAACAAAAACGGCCGGUGAGGAUCUUAAAAGACCUCCCGGAGCAUGAAGACCGGGAUCCCCUAGAACUCCCGGGAAAACAAAGAAGACCGGGAUCCCUAAGAACUCCCGGAAAAACAAAACAAAAACGGCCGGUGAGGAUCUUAAAAGACCUCUCGGAGUAUGAAGACCGGGAUCCCCUAGAACUCCUGGGAAAACAAAGAAGACCGGGAUCCCCUAGAACUCCCGGGAAAACAAAGAAGACCGGGAUCCCCUAGAACUCCCGGGAAAACAA
rnacentral:lncRNA from 1 species